UGGUGCCGUCGGCCUAGAGAGAGAGGGAUAAAGAGAGAGAGAGAGGCGUGUUCUAGAGAGAGAAGGAGAGAAAGAGGAGAAAAAGAAGAAGAAGAAGGGAUCAAUCCUAUGUCUUGAACAAUGGGUGAUAUAGUUGAGUAUUGGUCACUUGGGUGUUCUUGAUUUAACAAUCAAGAGAGGUAGCAAAUAUGAUUUAUCUUUGACACGCGUGGUGAUGUGGGGAGUUCUAUCGUCAGGGUGUGUAUAGCAUGGGGGCAUCCUAUGGACGAGAAACGAUCAGUUUAAAACGCCAUUUUCUAAAGAAUAAUGUUAUGUUUAUUUUCAACUUUAAGAAAUUAUCAGUGGGACUUGAACUUUAAUUAUUUUUAAAAUGAUGCAUGAAAACUAUUAUUUUUCCUUUUAAACUAUUGCGCCCAACUUGCAUGUUUUAGUAAGGCCCCACUGUAAUUUCUAUAAUAAGUGGUUUUUCUUCUAUAAAGUUAUGAGUAUGCAAAUGUUUUACAAAGUAUUAGAUUAGGGCGUUUUACAGCUUUAUGCAUGGAUUAUGAGAUUGAUUUAAAUGAAUGUCUAAAUAGUCUUUACUGGAAUGACAGACGUGACAAAAUCAUUUGAAGUUCUCGACCAGAAAGAUUAUGUUGUGAUUCUUAUUCUUAAUAUUGA